GGUAUAACUAUCAAGCAAUUGACCACCAACUACCAUUUGAGUUUACACACAAAUAACCUGCCAAUUUACAACAGAUCGACGAGUAUUCAGAACAAAACUGAACCCGUACUUCCAAAGAUGCAAGUUGUUACUACACCCAGUCAACCAUCGAUCAUUCCAGAUAGGCCUGACUGAUAUCUGGGGAAACAAAUCAAAUUUACUUGCACAAAGGACCUAUAAAAUUUCAAUAACAAUGCCCAUAUUACUAUACAACCAAAUUUAUGAAAUAGUCAUAUACAAGAUCAUCAAAACUUUACAAAAGACCCAUUAGUCAAAUAACACGGGUGAAAGCAAAACCGUCUCAUGCUUAAGAUAAGGGAGCGGCAGAGGAGGUAAACGAUCACCCCCCAUAUUAAGUGAGAUACACCAUAGCUUCUUCAGCAAAUUAAUGUAUUCUCCUUCCGAAGAAUGGAACCAACCACCUUUGUGAGCUUUUCUUCAGCAGCAACCACCACAACAUGGUGCAAUUCCAUUUCUCCUUUUACGUCCUUGGACCAGCCUUCUUUUGAACAAUGUAGACUUCUUAAGUUAACAGAACUUUUUUCGUACUUCUCUGCCCUGGAAUACAAUUUUGAGUACAUGUAUGAGCACUCCAGUUCUUACCCUCGGCCUGGGAGCACCACAAAUGCAGCCGACCACCAACUCUGAGAUCUGGCUAAACAGACUGAGAGGACAGAGAAAAGAGAAGCGCCGUUGGAAGAUAACAUAAGUUAAAACUUCACGAUAUCCAACACGGCAAUACCUUAUCACAAGAAAGAUGACAUACAAGUAGAGAACAUUUUCAACAAUCAACCUACCAUGCAUUGGUAUCACUGCCAGGACUGGCCAAGCCUUGGUGUACAUUGAAGCAGGAUGACUGCCUUCACUGAUUACAGAACAGCACAAAGAUUUUGAAUAAGUUACUUGCGAGGCGGACAAUGAUAUAUUACAUCGGGAAGAGACCAGAAGAGAGAUUAAGCUAGUAACGGCGAUUAAUAAUUCUGAAAAGGAAAAAAAAAGGCAGUCAAGUGUUCCAAAGCUGGAAUCUGUGAACGGCCCCGGAUACAAAAAGGAACUGCACUGGAAUUACCGUGAUGGUUUCUAUUCCAUGGAUUCAGACUAACAUCAGUGCGCUUUCCAAAAGCAGGAAAACCGACUUGUAUGGCAUGCCAAAUUCAAUAUCAUACGAGGCAAGCUAAGUUUCUCACCAGAUAAUUCCCCAACUUAAACUGAAAGCAAGAAACUGGAUAGGUCAAUAUUUGGAAUACUAAAUACAUGUGCACAGACUACAGAGAUACAAAAAGUUCCCACACAAGUAUAUCCUCAAGAAUUGGAUAAGCAUUAGAUGGAAUCAAACUGUUUAAGAUUCAUGAAUACCCGUACUUACUACGAUAGAGAACACUCCAGUCAGAAACUGAAUUAAAGUAAAUGAAUAGCGAAUUCAGUGAUAAAUUAUGAAGUGGGCUAUAGCCUGUGUGCGCAAAAUUUGGAUUUGGAUAGGCUAGUGGUCAAAACUCUAAAGUGAACUGAACUACCGUGAGCAAAUUUUGAUGAGUGAGUUGAAUUUAAGACACAUAUGCAUACCAGUUACAAAUAAAUUCAGGGCACUCCCUUGAAUAUUCUCCAAUAUACAGCAGCACCCUGGCCGCAAGCAUGCAAAAAUAAAAUAAAAUAUUUAACAAAUAGUAGGGUGGUGCCACUGGAAGUGUUGAGUAUUUUAAUAACUACCAGUGCAAAAAUGUAUGCUGCUACUCUCACAUCAUAAAGUAUUACAUGCAAUCAGGUUCCACAUUGACAACAUCUAGAUAUAGAUACAACUUACAAGUUAAUUACCACAUGAGGAAUGGCUAGUAGUACACACUCCCAAAAUGGCGCAUGCCAUAGGCAUUCAAUGUUCUUCACUUUUGUUAUAUGGCUCUCAUUUGGAUAGAUGUGAAUUUUAGAUUAAUAAUAGAUUUGGCACUUAAUACUCAAUGAGAAUAGCUCAAUUUAGGGAUUUCAUGCUCACAGAUUCGGCAUAAGUUUAGGCUUGUAACGAUUUGUAAUAACAUUUAACAGAGUGGUUUCCAAAACCCCUCAUGCUACUAGUAGUUAGUCAAAGAUCCCAAUAAAAUCAUCUCUUCUUACACCUAAUCCGAUACUCCACAGUUCCCCAAGCCACUUAUACAAACCUCAAAUAUUUUCAGGGCAAUCGAACCUUAAAUCCAUUCAUCUGAAACCCACAUCAGUGAUCCAUGAAGAUAGAACAUCUAUCCAUCUAUGCAUACCACUAACUCCCGUUAAACAUGUAAUUCAGGAUUUUUAAGAAAGACCCAAUUGACGGAAUGAAAAUAAAGCUUAACAGAAUUCUUUUCGUUUCCUUUUUAGUUGGAUUGUUACAAAUCAAAGAUGUAGAAAAAUGAUAGGAGAGAGAUUAACACAAAUUUAGGGCCAGAGAUAAGAAUUAGGGCACAACUAUUGCACUUGAGAGAAUUCCGUUUGA
rnacentral:lncRNA from 1 species